rnacentral:tRNA from 14 species
GCGGGUGUAGCUCAAUGGUAGAGCUCCAGCCUUCCAAGCUGGCUAUGAGGGUUCGAUUCCCUUCACCCGCUCCA